AAAAUUAAAUAAUAAAAUAAUAAACUUAAAAAAUAAAAAAAACGUUUGGUCUUCCUCGCUCACCCCUUCCGAACCCCCCCCCCCCCUCUCUUUUUCCCUCCUCUGCACCCACCCUUCCCCCUCCCUCUUCUUCGACUCCACCGGUCCAACCCCAAAAAAACCCAAUCCCAGAUUUCCUUCGAAACCCUACAACAGCCUCGCCGUGAAGUCGCCGAUCGCCCUCGUGAAAUCGCCGUUCCCAUCGGACAGCAGCAGCAUUUCGUAGCCGAUCACGAAGCAACCCAGCAAAUUCCUUGAAGUCCUCGCCUAAUAAGAAAAAACGGAUUAACUAUUUUAUUCCUUCAUAAUGCUCACCCAAUUAAAAAUUAAUUAAUAAAAACAGAAUAUUUGAAAUGCCAAAAAUACAAAGGAAGCAAAACGAGGAUCAGGAGAGCUUCUCUCUAAUCAGAGUUCUUCUCUCUAAUAAGAAAAAACUGUUUGGAAAAUAUUUUAGAGAUUUAAUUUAAUUAGAGAUUGGAUAUGAUUUGAUUUAAUUAGGGAUUUGAUAUGAUUUGGUUUGGUUGGUUUAGGUUUCUUUGUCUUGAUCUCUCCGUGAGUGAGAGAGAUAAGAUUUCGAUUAAGGUCAGUGCCAGCCCUUCAUUUUUUCUUCAGCCUUUCCACUCCAACUAUCAUUGAUCUUCUUGUCCUAGAUCUAUUCAUCCACCCAUCCAUCUACAUGUCCUUCAUCUAGCUUCCACCGAUCCCAUUUCCGUUUCGAUCUGCAAUCUCUAUUGACUGCGAACUGUUGCGGUCUUUAAUUGGGAAUGUGCGUAGAGUUUCGGUGUUCACACCUGCUCGGUGGCCACACCGGCCACCUCCUUCUCUUUGUCUACCUUUUCUGGCAGUGUUGCUUGUGGUAAUCCCACAGGCUUCUUUAGUUUCUCUCUAUUUACGACCAUGCCAUUACUUUAAUGAGUGGGCCAUUGCGGAGGGUGAGAGGCCAUGCCGCCUCCGGCUGUCGAUGUCGUCAGAGGCAUGGUUCACAGAGGGGUUGAUGGGUUGCAAAUAGAGAGAGGGUUGACGACGGAAUUGCCUGUAACUCAGGCCGUUUCCUCAAUAAUUCCACUCCAGCUCCCCAAAACUUGGAAAUCCAAGAGACUCCCGUUCUAGGAAAUGCUUCAACGUCACUAUAUAUGGAAUCUGUGUGGGUCCGUAGCGUUUCGAGCUGGGAGACGACGGAAUUGCCGUUAUUGCUUCUGGAGUCACCUGCAAUCUGAGUAUGAAUUGGCACCAUUCUCACAUUACUUGGAUUGCUCCUGUUGUUGUUUCGGAGGAAGGUGGUGCUUCGGUUCAGGUGAACAAAAAGGUUUAUGUGGAUUUACGUGUUGGUGAUGUCAUCCGUUUUGGGUUGUGAGUAUCUUCUUGUCUUAACUCUCACUCUGCAACGCGUUUCACGAUUUCUUCGAUCUCUGUUUCGUUAUCUCUUCAAUCUCUGCUUUGUGAACUCUUCAAUCCCUGCUUUGCGAUCUCUGUUGUUCACCCUGCCUUCUCAUCUCCGUUGGUAUUUCCACCAACCAAUGAAGUGCCCGGAGUUUGAACAUGAAAUGCCCAGGAGGCCGCCCAGUGCAUGGUAUAUUUGAUCUCCGUUGCACACCUCGCCUUCUCAUCGCCGUCGCACACUUCGGAAUUUUUUGUAUUAAUUAGACGACAGUGAUCCUGACAUGGCAGAUCCUCUUCUUGAUGUUGCCUGUUCCUCGGUUUGAAUUGAUUGAAUGGCGAAUGACUGAAAAAUACCGUCGCAUCACCGCGGAAAAUGAGCUGUCCAGUAGACAAUUUGGGCUAUAAGAGCACAAUGCCAAGCUUCCUGUAAGCAUGGGAAAAAACCAAGGCACAGUUACAAGCGAGUUUUCAAUCUAGGCCAUUCAGUCAAUUGCUUACGUGAAAGGAGAGUUUAUGCCCAUGCUUGCUGCCCUAUUUCUGCGGGUUCUUUGCUUACGUGAGAGGAGAGAGCGAGAUCUGCAGAGAAAGAGAGGGAGUUCGAAAUUUGAGGAUUUCUUUUUGUUUUGGUUUGUGUGCGACUGAUUGAGAGAGGAGGUGGCUCCAUGGGUUUUCUAGGAAAGCUUUGGGUUUUUGGGUUUUUGUAGAUUCACAACGGAGGUGUAAAAUUGAGAGAUAACCGACAUAACUUUUCGUGUCGAUUCCCACAGACGGCGCCAAAUGUUGAUGCACAAAACCGGAGGUCUUGGAACAACGUAAAUCUGACCGAGAAUCUGCAUGAAAUG